AGUUUGAUCAUGGCUCAGAUUGAACGCUGGCGGCAGGCCUAACACAUGCAAGUCGAGCGGUAGAGAGGUGCUUGCAUCUCUUGAGAGCGGCGGACGGGUGAGUAAUGCCUAGGAAUCUGCCUAGUGGUGGGGGAUAACGUUCGGAAACGGACGCUAAUACCGCAUACGUCCUACGGGAGAAAGCGGGGGAUCUUCGGACCUCGCGCCAUUAGAUGAGCCUAGGUCGGAUUAGCUAGUUGGUGAGGUAAUGGCUCACCAAGGCGACGAUCCGUAACUGGUCUGAGAGGAUGAUCAGCCACACUGGGACUGAGACACGGCCCAGACUCCUACGGGAGGCAGCAGUGGGGAAUAUUGGACAAUGGGCGAAAGCCUGAUCCAGCAAUGCCGCGUGAGUGAUGAAGGCCUUAGGGUUGUAAAGCUCUUUUACUCGGGACGAUAAUGACGGUACCGAGAGAAUAAGCCCCGGCUAACUCCGUG
rnacentral:rRNA from 1 species